GACGUAGGGCGCGAGCGUUGUCCGGAUUUAUUGGGCGUAAAGAGCUCGUAGACGGCUUGUUGCGUCGACUGUGAAAACCCGCGGCUUAACUGCGGGCUUGCAGUUGAUACGGGCAGGCUAGAGUUCGGUAGGGGAGACUGGAAUUCCUGGUGUAGCGGUGAAAUGCGCAGAUAUCAGGAGGGACACCGGUGGCGAAGGCGGGUCUCUGGGCCGAUACUGACGCUGAGGAGCGAAAACGUGGGGAGCGAACAGG
rnacentral:rRNA from 1 species